AGAGUUUUAUCCUGGCUCAGAUUGAACGCUGGCGGCAGGCCUAACACAUGCAAGUCGAACGGUAACAGAAAGCAGCUUGCUGCUUUGCUGACGAGUGGCGGACGGGUGAGUAAUGUCUGGGAAACUGCCUGAUGGAGGGGGAUAACUACUGGAAACGGUAGCUAAUACCGCAUAACGUCGCAAGACCAAAGAGGGGGACCUUCGGGCCUCUUGCCAUCGGAUGUGCCCAGAUGGGAUUAGCUUGUUGGUGGGGUAACGGCUCACCAAGGCGACGAUCCCUAGCUGGUCUGAGAGGAUGACCAGCCACACUGGAACUGAGACACGGUCCAGACUCCUACGGGAGGCAGCAGUGGGGAAUAUUGCACAAUGGGCGCAAGCCUGAUGCAGCCAUGCCGCGUGUAUGAAGAAGGCCUUCGGGUUGUAAAGUACUUUCAGCGGGGAGGAAGGGAGUAAAGUUAAUACCUUUGCUCAUUGACGUUACCCGCAGAAGAAGCACCGGCUAACUCCGUGCCAGCAGCCGCGGUAAUACGGAGGGUGCAAGCGUUAAUCGGAAUUACUGGGCGUAAAGCGCACGCAGGCGGUUUGUUAAGUCAGAUGUGAAAUCCCCGGGCUCAACCUGGGAACUGCAUCUGAUACUGGCAAGCUUGAGUCUCGUAGAGGGGGGUAGAAUUCCAGGUGUAGCGGUGAAAUGCGUAGAGAUCAGAAGGAAUACCGGUGGCGAAGGCGGCCCCCUGGACGAAGACUGACGCUCAGGUGCGAAAGCGUGGGGAGCAAAAAAGAUUAGAUACCCUGGUAGUCCACGCCGUAAA
rnacentral:rRNA from 1 species